UGGACGGUUGAUUGAAAAAAUUACAAGACAUAAUAUGACGAAUCUCGGUGUUUGGAUUUUGAUUUGAGGAAGCUGAAAACUUAUCUGGCCAAUUCGGAUUUGAGGUUGUGAUAACUUGAUCACUUGAUCAAUAUAAGAUGUCUCCAGCCAAUUCGGAUUUGGAUUUGAGGUUGCUGAUAACUUGCUUCAUGAAGCCACUAGGAAUCUAGAAAGUUUGAUAUUUUUCUCCCAGACCCUUAGA
rnacentral:lncRNA from 1 species